AUCAACGCUGGUCGGCGCGCCUAACACAUGCAAGUCGAACGAGAAGUGGAGCAAAUCCAUGAGUACAGUGGCGUACGGGUGAGUAACACGUGGGUAAUCUACCUUGUUAGUGAGGAAUAACCGAGGGAAACUUUGGCUAAUACCGCAUAAGCCCGAGAGGGGAAAAGUCGAAAGACGCUGAAAGAGGGGCCCGCGGCCGAUUAGCUAGUUGGUGGGGUAAGAGCCCACCAAGGCAGAGAUCGGUAGCCGGCCUGAGAGGGCACACGGCCACAACUGGCACUGAAACACGGGCCCAGACUCCUACGGGAGGCAGCAGUGGGGAAUCUGCACAAUGGGGGAAACCCUGAUGCAGCGACGCCGCGUGAGCGAUGAAGCCCUUCGGGUGUUAAAGCUCUUUCGUCAGGGAAGAUAGUGACGGUACCUGGAGAAGCAGCUGCGGCUAACUACGUGCCGGCAGCCGCGGUAAUACGUAGGCAAAGCAAGCGUUGUUCGGAGUUACUGGGCGUAAGGGUGUGUAGGCGGUUCUUUAAGUUUGGUGUGAAAUCUCCUCGGCUCAACUGGAGGGUGCGCCGAAUACUGAGGGACUAGAGUACGGGAGAGGAAAGUGGAAUUCCUGGUGUAGCGGUGAAAUGCAUAGAUAUCAGGAGGAACACCGGUGGUGUAGACGGCUUUCUGGACCGACACUGACGCUGAAACACGAAAGCGUGGGCUAGCAAACAGGACUAGAUACCCUGGUAGUCCACGCCCUAAACGAUGCAUAUUUGGUGUGGGCAGUUCAUUCUGUCCGUGCCGGAGCUAACGCGUUAAAUAUGCCGCUGGGGAGUACAGUCGCAAGGCUGAAACUCAAAGGAAUUGACGGGGGCCCGCACAAGCGGUGGAGCAUGUGGUUCAACUCGACCGCAACGCGAAGAACCUUACCUGGGCUCGAACGGCUUCUCAACGGCGGUGGAAACACUGCUACCACCGCAAGGGGGUUGGAGCCGAGGUGCUGCAUGGCUGUCGGUCAGCUCGUGUCGUGAGGUGUUGGGUUAAGUCCCGCAACGAGCGCAGCCCCUGUCCUGUGUUGCCAUCAUUGAGUUGGGAACUCGCAGGAGACCGCCAGCGAUAAGCUGGAGGAAGGUGGGGAUGACGUCAAGUCCUCAUGGCCUUUAUGUCCAGGGCUACACACGUGGCUACAAUGGACGGUACAAAGCGCAGCAACCCGCGAGGGGGAGCCAAUCGCAAAAAACCGUUCUCAGUUCGGAUUGCAGGCUGCAACUCGCCUGCAUGAAGCUGGAAUCGCUAGUAAUGGCAGAUCAGCACGCCUGCCGUGACUACGUUCCCGGGCCUUGUACACACCGCCCGUCACAUCACGAAAGUGGAUUGUACUAGAAGUCUGCAGGCUGACCCGCAGGGGGGCAGCGGCCCAAGGUAUAAUCCGUGAUUGGGGUG
rnacentral:rRNA from 1 species